GAGAAAAAGGCAAUGCCCACGCCCACUCGUCCAAGAUCUCCUUCCCGAUCCCCAACCUCCCGCUGCCACAGCCGCCGCCUCCCGCCGCCAGCCCCUGGCUCCGGCAUGCCUCCUGCUGCCGGUGCCGCCACGCCUCCCACCGCCGGCCACCCUGGCCCCGUCGCCGCCCCCCGACCCCGACGCGCCUCCCGCCACCGGCCAUCCCGACCCCGACGCGCCUCCCUCCGUCGGCCACCCCGGCCUAGGAUCCGGCCGCCAUGCUGCCUUCUUCCCCCGGAUCCAGCCACCAUGACGCCUCCUCCUCCCGGAUCCGCUCGCGGGACCGUUCCCGCCGUCGCCUAGUGCCGCCACACGCCGCCGCCAUAGAAGCUUCAACACCUCCGUUCGCGCCGCCAUGGCCACUCGAGCCACCAUGGCCCCAGCUCCCAUCAACACCUUCGGCCAAGUGCCGCCGUACUCGCCGACGCCGGCUCCUUCCUCCUCAGGCGCACUACCUAAGCCCCUCUCCCGAGGCCCCCGUCCCCAGCCCCUCCGGCCUUCUUCCCCGGAGCCGGCGGCAGCCUUCUUCCACCGAGCCAGCGGUGGCUCCGCCUUCCUCAGUCGUGCUUUUCCGUGGAUGUUCCCCGCGGUCAUCCACUUCACCGUUGGGAAAUCAAAACACUUCGGCUCCCUCCGCACGAGCAGUCCGUCACCUUGGUCACGAGCAGUCCGUCGCCUAGCAAGCUAGCAAUUUGUUGCCGAUGCUGCUCCUCUUGAUCGUGUAGGCCGAGCUGCUCCUGUGUCGGUUGGCCGUCCUGGGCCCUGCCGCCGGCUCUCCCGAGCUCUGCCGCCCUUCUGCUCCAUCCGCUGCCCAUGAACCGCUGGACCCCGAGCUCGACCAGCCUCAGCCGUGUGUGCGAGCAUGCACUGGUGCGCUCAUUUUGUGGUGUGUUCAUGCGUGCGUGCACUGUUUUGGCUGCGUACGUGCGUGGUGUUCUGUUGGAAAGUUCAGCUACUGUAUCUUGGGAAGAGCUAAUUCAUUUUCAGUAAUGAUACUGCCUCAAUGCCUUCUUCUCGAAUCAAACAUUUAGCUUGCUAUGCGUUUGGAGAAAAGAAUAAACAAGAUAACGCAAAACGGCACUGGUUGGAUAAGGUGAGAGAAGAUGCUAAUUUUGUGGUGGAGAAUUGUAGUAACGCCAAGUUAGUGCUUGUUUUGUGUAUAAAAAAGGAUUAAGUGCAUGUAAUUAUUGUAUGACCAGGCCACUGGAGAUUUUGUUUUGCAGGUGUGUAGUGUCUUUUCGCAACUGAUCCUUAUGGUCAAUGAUCUCCAAAUUUUACUUUCUUUACUCUGCGUGUUUUCUUUUUUAUGUAAAAAGCAAAGAAGUUCAUAUAUACGAAAUAUAAAACUUCAAAUAUGUCAAAGAGAAAAAAGUUAGUCUACAAAAUUUACUUCUAAAAGAUCAUGUAAAUUAGCACAGAAGUCCAAAUAUAAAAUCAACAAAACUUCACACACUGGAAAAAAUGACUUUUCCAAUUUCUUAUAUAAAUAAAACAAAGAAGUUAAAAUUAAAAAUAACAAAAAUAGUUUGAUGUUUAUAAACAAUGGGAAGUUCUACCUUUAUAAAAAAAGAAAUCAGUAUUUCCGUGUGUGUGGUGGUGAGGUUGACGUUCAGAAAAUGUGUGGUGAGGUUCAGAAAAACAUGUGUGUGAUGGAGAAAUUCACUACCUUUUUUAAUUAGGACACAAGUAAUAGCUUCUUUUGUGCAAAUACAAGACAAAAAAUGCAUGCGUCUUUUAGUAAGAGAAAGAAAACAAAUGUUCAAGGAUGUUGCCAUGAAAGUUAAUGCAUAUGAAGAAAGGAAAUUCGGAAGGUCAGGGGUCGCGAACAGAGAAGUUCGUGCAUGAGUGUUGAGGAAAUGUUCAAGAAAAAGGAUAACACUGAAACACACACGCAAAAAUAAAUAAAACCAACAAGAAGGUCAGAUUAAGUUAAUCAAGACGUUCGAUGUUUAUGUAGCUAGAAGAAAACCUAAAAAAUGGCAACUUUGAAAGUUCAGAUUUAAAUAAACUUUAAAGUUCGAAAAAAUUGAGAAAAAAAGAGACACAUAUUUGUACAAGGAUUUCACCCUUUUUGAAAAUCCUAAUGUAUUUCUUUAAACUUCGAACUACACCUUUAUGAAGCUUAAAAUAAUGGUGUUGUUCGAAGUUCAAAUACAAAUAAUGGAGCGAUUCAAGGUUUUAUUACUACAUUAGGAUUUUCCCCAUUACUAAGCAAUAAUCCAAGAAGGCCAAACUAAAAAAAUAGAGCAGCUCCCCGUUCUACAAAAAAAACCUGGAGGUUCAAAUUUAAAUAAUGGGGAAAUUCAAUGUUUUACAAAUAACAAGAAGGUCAAAUUGAAAAAAUUGAGUAGUCAAAAAGUUUAUAAAAACAGAUUUUCCUUUUAAAAAAUAAGACCUAGAAGUUCCACUUUAAAUAAUUGAGAAGUUUGAUAUUUAUUACAUAACUAGGACAUUUCCCGUUACUAAUGAAUAACACCAAGAAGUCUAAGCUUAAAAAAAAGUUGUUUAAUGCUUAUAAAAA